AAGACUUGGUGGAGACCAUGGCAUAUCUGGUUUCAUCCUCCCUCCAUAGAGACUGAAGAACUUCCAAACUGCAAAUCUCUGGUGAAUGAUGUAGAAACCAGCCACAACUCAGUCCUAUGCACUGGAAAACUGGUGGUGGGUUGACAAGAAAUUAUGUUUACACUUCAAGAAGGACACUUCCAUGUCUUCAGAAUCUGAGCUGGACCUCCAGCUAACUCACGGGUAGAGGAUGAACAGAGGACCCCAAACAAACCCAUACUCUGGAGGAACCAUCUCAACACUGAGCAGGGACACCACCCCUUCAGCCUAGAAAGAGGGUCAACACAAAGGAAUGGUUGUACACGGGAAUGGUGGACUUAUUGGUACUUCAAAUUUCCUCUCAAUGAUGGGUGCUGUGAAGGAA